AGCCAGACUCCUACGGGAGGCAGCAGUGGGGAAUAUUGGACAAUGGGGGGAACCCUGAUCCAGCGACGCCGCGUGAGUGAAGAAGUAUUUCGGUAUGUAAAGCUCUAUCAGCAGGGAAGAAAGAAAUGACGGUACCUGACUAAGAAGCCCCGGCUAACUCCGUGCCAGCAGCCGCGGUAAUACGUAGGGGGCAAGCGUUAUCCGGAUUUACUGGGUGUAAAGGGGGCGCAGACGGCAGCGCAAGCCAGGAGUGAAAACCCGGGGCUCAACCCCGGGACUGCAUUGGAAACUGUCAGGCUAGAGUGUCGGAGAGGCAAGUGGAAUUCCUAGUGUAGCGGUGAAAUGCGUAGAUAUUAGGAGGAACACCAGUGGCGAAGGCGGCUUGCUGGACGACGACUGACGUUGAGGCUCGAAAGCGUGGGGAGCAAACAGGAUUAGAUACCCCGGUA
rnacentral:rRNA from 1 species